AUACGGAGGGUGCAAGCGUUACUGGGAAUCACUGGGCGUAAAGCGCGCGCAGGCGGCUAUUUAAGUUGGAUGUGAAAGCCUACGGCUCAACCGUAGAACUGCAUCCAAAACUAUUUAGCUAGAGUGUGGGAGAGGAAGAUGGAAUUAGUUGUGUAGGGGUAAAAUCCGUAGAGAUAACUAGGAAUACCAAAAGCGAAGGCAAUCUUCUGGAACACUACUGACGCUGAGGCGCGAAAGCGUGGGGAGCAAACGGGAUUAGAUACCCUAGUAGUCC
rnacentral:rRNA from 1 species